UAGCGUUGCUCGGAAUCACUGGGCGUAAAGGGUGCGUAGGCGGGCCUUUAAGUCAGGGGUGAAAUCCUGGAGCUCAACUCCAGAACUGCCUUUGAUACUGAAGAUCUUGAGUUCGGGAGAGGUGAGUGGAACUGCGAGUGUAGAGGUGAAAUUCGUAGAUAUUCGCAAGAACACCAGUGGCGAAGGCGGCUCACUGGCCCGAUACUGACGCUGAGGCACGAAAGCGUGGGGAGCAAACAGG
rnacentral:rRNA from 1 species